UGGGGAAUAUUGCACAAUGGGCGGAAGCCUGAUGCAGCGACGCCGCGUGAGGGAUGACGGCCUUCGGGUUGUAAACCUCUUUCAGCAGGGAAGAAGCGCAAGUGACGGUACCUGCAGAAGAAGCACCGGCUAACUACGUGCCAGCAGCCGCGGUAAUACGUAGGGUGCGAGCGUUGUCCGGAAUUAUUGGGCGUAAAGAGCUUGUAGGUGGUUUGUCGCGUCUGCUGUGAAAAUCCGAGGCUCAACCUCGGACUUGCAGUGGGUACGGGCAGACUAGAGUGUGGUAGGGGAGACUGGAAUUCCUGGUGUAGCGGUGGAAUGCGCAGAUAUCAGGAGGAACACCGAUGGCGAAGGCAGGUCUCUGGGCCAUUACUGACACUGAGGCACGAAAGCGUGGGGAGCAAACA
rnacentral:rRNA from 1 species